rnacentral:rRNA from 1 species
AUUGAACGCUGGCGGCAUGCCUUACACAUGCAAGUCGAACGGUAACAGGUCUUCGGAUGCUGACGAGUGGCGAACGGGUGAGUAAUACAUCGGAACGUGCCUAGUAGUGGGGGAUAACUACUCGAAAGAGUGGCUAAUACCGCAUGAGAUCUACGGAUGAAAGCAGGGGAUCGCAAGACCUUGUGCUACUAGAGCGGCCGAUGGCAGAUUAGGUAGUUGGUGGGAUAAAAGCUUACCAAGCCGACGAUCUGUAGCUGGUCUGAGAGGACGAUCAGCCCCACUGGGACUGAGACACGGCCCAGACUCCUACGGGAGGCGGCAGUGGGGAAUUUUGGACAAUGGGCGAAAGCCUGAUCCAGCAAUGCCGCGUGCAGGAUGAAGGCCUUCGGGUUGUAAACUGCUUUUGUACGGAACGAAAAGCCCCGGGUUAAUACCCUGGGGUCAUGACGGUACCGUAAGAAUAAGCACCGGCUAACUACGUGCCAGCAGCCGCGGUAA